CCAUCAGGUGGAUGGCUCGGCUCAAGUGCCUAUGAAGGACGUGCCAAGCUGCGAUAAGCUUCGGGUAGGUGCAUGGAACCUAUGAACCGAAGAUUUCCUAAUGAGGAUUCUUAGCAGAUUUAUCUGUUGAUCAGUAAUGAUCGGGAACGCCCCGAAUUGAAACAUCUUAGUAGGGGCAGGAAAAGAAAUCAAUCGAGAUGCCGUAAGUAACGGCGAGUGAAACCGGCAAAGUUCAAACUGAAUCCCCUCAGUAAUGAUGGGGAGAUGUGGUGUUAUAGGGCUGCUUUAAAAAUCCUAUUUAUCUAAAUUGAACUUGACUGGAAUGUCAGACCAUAGAGUGUGAUAGUCACGUAAAUGUGAGAUGAAGGAUUUGGAGCAUGCCCUGAGUACCGUGCGUUGGAUAUCGCGCGGGAAUUUGGGAGGCACCAACUUCCAAAACUAAAUACAUCUUGAGACCGAUAGUGAAAUAGUAGGGUGACCAAACGCUGAAAAGUACCCUCAGAAGGGGUGUGAAAAGUGUCUGAAACCUGAUGGUGAUAGAGCGAUAUGGCAUCAAAGGAUCUUUCAUACGAAGGAAAAAAUUCGCGAGAAUUUAGUACGAGUAUGAAUGCCAGUGUUGUAUCGUACGUUUUGAAGAACGGGCCAGGGAGUGUAUUUGAAUGGCGAGGCUAACUUUAAAACUAGGAAGCCGAAGCGAAAGCAACAUGCGCGCAAAAUUUAUUUUUGAGGCGCGGCGUAUACAAGUGCGUGGAGUCAUUUGAUUACGACCCGAAGCCAGGCGAUCUAGGCGUGGGCAGGUUGAAGCGUGGCGAAAGCUACGUGGAGGACCGCAAGCGGUAUUGAUCUGCAAAUCAUUCGUGUGACCUGUGUCUAGGGGUGAAAGUCCAAUCUAGCCUGGCAUCAGCUGGUUCCUUCCGAAACAUGUCGUAGCAUGACCUAAUUGGAGAUAGUCGGUGGAGUAGAGCACUGAUUGGGAAAUCCGGGGGAGAAAUCCCUCACUUCCUUGUCAAACUCCAAACACACCGUCGUCUGAGAAGAUUGGAGUCCGGGCUACUGGGGUAAGCUUGUAGUCCGUAAGGGAGAAAACCCAGACUGUGGUUAAGGUCCCCAAGUGUCGACUAAGUGUUAAUACUAAAGGGUGUCAUAAGCCCCAGACAACUGGAAGGUUAGCUUAGAAGCAGCUAUCCUUUAAAGAGUGCGUAACAGCCCACCAGUCGAGGUUUAUGGCCCCGAAAAUUGACGGGGCUAAAGUCGACCACCGAUACCACAGAGUAUUGAAAAAUAAUCUCGUAGGAAGGCGUUUCGCUCGGGCAGAAGCUGGGACUUGAGUUCCAGUGGACCGUGCGGAAACGAAAAUCCUGGUAAUAGUAACAGCAAAGUUAGGUGAGAAUCCUAACCGCCGAAGGGGCCAGGUUUCCUCGGCAAUGAUUAUCAGCCGAGGGUUAGUCGGUCCUAAGUUGUACCGUAAUUCGAGUACAUCGAAAGGGAAACAGGUUAAUAUUCCUGUACCAUUUAACAAUAAAAGCUGACGCUUUGGGGCAGGUCGAGCAGUGUCGUCGCACUGUUUAAGCAUAGAAUAUCGUGGAGAGCCGUAAUGGCGAGAAGCGAGUAAAUGUGUUAUGACGAAAGUCGGCUGCACCCUAGAGCCCGUGAAAAGGCAAGUUAAAUGUCCGUACCGAGAACUGACACUGGUGCCCCUAGCUGAAAAGGCUAAGGCGUGUCGGAAUUAAUCUGGUUAAGGGAAUUUGGCAAAUUAGCUCCGUAACUUCGGGAGAAGGAGUGCCUGCUGUGAAGACAGCAGGUCGCAGUGACAAGAGAGCUCCAACUGUCUACUAACAACAUAGGAGAUUGCAAACCCGUAAGGGCUAGUACAAUCUCUGAGUCCUGCCCAGUGCAGGUAUCUGAAACUCCGGUUCAACGGAACGAAGGACCUGUAAACGGCGGGGGUAACUAUGACCCUCUUAAGGUAGCGUAGUACCUUGUCGCUUAAUUGGCGACUCGCAUGAAUGGAGCAAUGAGAGCUCUACUGUCCCUAACCAGAAUCCGGUGAAGCUUACAUUCUAGUGCAAAGUCUAGAGACCUCUAGGGGGAAGUGAAGACCCCGUGGAGCUUUACUGCAGCCUGUCGCUGGAUUGUGAUUUUGGAUGUACAGUGUAGGUAGGAGACCUCGAAGCUGGCGCGCUAGCGUCGGUGGAGUCAACAAUGGGACACUACCCUUCCAAAAUUACGAUCCUAACUCUAAUUUAGAGGACCCCGAUAGGUGGGCAGUUUGCCUGGGGCGGGACGCCCUUGAAAAGAUAUCAAGGGCGCGCAAUGGUUAACUCAAGUGGGUCGGAAACCCACUGAAGAGUGCAAGAGCAUAAGUUAGCCUGACGCGAUUUGGCAAAGUAGCGAAUCGCGAGACGAAAGUCGGUUCUAGCGAACCUUUAUGUCCUGCUUGGUGCGGGUUAAAGAUAACAGAAAAGUUACCCCGGGGAUAAUUGAGUCGUUGCCGGCAAGAGCACAUAUCGACCCGGCAGCUUGCUACCUCGAUGUCGGUUCUUUCCAUCCUGGCUGUGCAGCAGCAGCCAAGGGUGAGGUUGUUCGCCUAUUAAAGGAGAUCGUGAGCUGGGUUUAGACCGUCGUGAGACAGGUCGGUUACUAUCUACUAGAGGUGUAGAGAGGUCUGAGGGUAAGUUGCUUUUAGUACGAGAGGAACAAGGCAACGGUGCCACUGGUCGAUCGGUUGUCUGACAAGGCAUUGCCGAGCAGCUACGCACUAAGGAAUAAGAGCUGAAAGCAUCUAAGCUCGAAAUCUAACCUAAAAAGAGACCUUAUGUAAAAGAUUCCGGUAAAAGACCGGGUUAAUAG
rnacentral:rRNA from 1 species